CGACUACGAUGACUGCAUGGUAGAAAAAUGUGACUAGUACAAUGAGCGCGUUGUCCUCGUCAUCUUCAGCCUAGCAAAGUCAUUAUAAAAAAUCUAAAAAGCGGUUUUACACAACGAAUACAAUUUUUACAGUUUCCUACAACGAUGAUUGUAUUAUUGCAAAUCUCACAUAUACGAUGAACUAUUUAUAACAAACUUUCAUCGCUCAUUUCAUUAUAAAAUUCGUCUGGAUAAAAUGAAUAGCCUACCUACACAAUAGUCGUAGCCUCUCAUACCACGAAUCCAUUGUAGGAAACCGACUACGAUGACUGCAUGGUAGAAAAAUGUGACAAGUACAAUGAGCGCGUUGUCCUCGUCAUCUUCAGCCUAGCAAAGUCAUUAUAAAAAAUCUAUAAAGCGGUUUUACACAACGAAUACAAUUUUUACAGUUUCCUACAACGAUGAUUGUAUUAUUGCAAAUCUCACAUAUACGAUGAACCAUUUAUAACAAGCUUGCAUAUCGCUUACUUCAUUAUAAAAGUCGUCUGGAUAAACUAAAUAGCCUAUACCUACACAAUAGUCAAUAGUUUUGUGGGAGCGGUGAGUAGCGGGCUUUUUUUUUUUUUUUUUCUCUGCACUCUUUUUGUUGCCCUUGAGCGGUCUCCUUUGCUGUAAAAAAAAAAAAAAAAAAAAAAAUCACUACCCCGAGUACAUUGCAGGAACCCGACUACGAUAACUGCGAUAUAAAAAGCGAAUACGAUAAGCGACGGAAGCAUUAUGACUAGCCUUCUGUCCCUGUAAACUCAUUGAAGGAGGCGUUACAGCACUAUGGGAAGUCAUUGUAGAAAGCAUGAUACAAUGACUGCGAUACAAAUAGGCGAUGUAAUACCAUAGAAGCAUUAUAACAAGCCUUCUGUCCCUGUAAACUCAUUGUAGGAGGCGUUACAGCACUAUGGGAAGUCAUUGUAGAAAGCAUGAUACAAUGACUGCGAUACAAAUAGGCGAUGUAAUACCAUAGAAGCAUUAUAACAAGCCUUCUGUCCCUGUAAACUCAUUGUAGGAAGCGUUACAGCACUAUGGGAAGUCAUUGUAGAAAGCAUGAUACAAUGACUGCGAUACAAAUAGGCGAAAUAAUACCAUAGAAGCAUUAUAACAAGCCUUCUGUCCCUGUAAACUCAUUGUAGGAGGCGUUACAGCACUAUGGGAAGUCAUUGUAGAGCAUAAUACAAUGACUGCGAUACAAAUAGGCGAUGUAAUACCAUAGAAGCAUUAUAACAAGCCUUCUGUCCACGUAAACUCAUUGUAGGAGGCGUUACAGCACUAUGGAAAGUCAUUGUAGAGCAUAAUACAAUGACUGAGAUACAAAUAGGCGAAAUAAUACCAUAGAAACAUUAUAACAAGCCUUCUGUCCCUGUAAACUCAUUGUAGGAGGCGUUACAGCACUAUGGAAAUUCAAUGUAGAGCCUAAUUCGAUGACUACGAUACAAAUAGGCGAAAUAAUACCAUAGAAGCAUUAUAACAAGCCUUCUGUACCUGUAAACUCAUUGUAGGAAGCGUUACAGUACUAUGGAAAUUCAUUGUAGAAAGUCUAAUACGAUGAUACGAUAUAAAAUAAGCGAUAUAAUACCAUAGAAGCAUUAUAAGAAGUCUUCAUUACCUGUAAGCUCAUUGUAGGAAGCGUUACAGUACUAUAAGAAAGUCUAAUGACAUAGUGAGGUUAUAAGCUUGGUAUACGAUGACUAAUACAUUGUAGUCUUAUAACACAACGAAAUGCAUUAUAGAGAAGGAAUGUUUUGCCUCCCAGUACAAUGAUAACAUGUAUGCUAUGGAAACUAUAAUGAAAAGAAGGUGAGGUUCGAGGGACAGGCCUGGUACGAUGACUUAUACAUUGUAGUCUUAUAACACAACGAAAUGCAUUAUAGAGAAGGAAUGUUUUGCCUCCCAGUACAAUGAUAACAUGUAUGCUAUGGCAAUUAUUAUGAAAAGGUGAGGUUCAAGGGACAGGCCUGGUACGAUGACUAAUACAUUGUAGAAUCUUAUAGCACAACAAAAUGCAUUAUAUAGAAGGGGUUAGACUCAAGAGAAAGUACAAUGUGUUUGCAUAAUACGAUGAUAACAUUAUAUAAAAACUGUGAAUGUGGAAAAGUCUAAAUUUAUGGAAAGUUUUAAGCAGCUCAGUCCACACACACACACACACACACACACACACACACACACACACACACAC